CCUACGGGUGGCAGCAGUGGGGAAUAUUGCACAAUGGGGGAAACCCUGAUGCAGCGACGCCGCGUGAGUGAAGAAGUAUUUCGGUAUGUAAAGCUCUAUCAGCAGGGAAGAAAAUGACGGUACCUGACCAAGAAGCCCCGGCUAACUACGUGCCAGCAGCCGCGGUAAUACGUAGGGGGCAAACGUUAUCCGGAUUUACUGGGUGUAAAGGGAGCGUAGACGGCAGCGCAAGUCUGGAGUGAAAUCCCAUGGCAUAACCACGGAACUGCUUUGGAAACUGUGUAGCUGGAGUGCAGGAGAGGUAAGCGGAAUUCCUAGUGUAGCGGUGAAAUGCGUAGAUAUUAGGAGGAACACCAGUGGCGAAGGCGGCUUACUGGACUGUAACUGACGUUGAGGCUCGAAAGCGUGGGGAGCAAACAGGAUUAGAUACCCCAGUAGUC
rnacentral:rRNA from 1 species